rnacentral:rRNA from 1 species
UAGUCCACGCCGUAAACGAUGAGAACUAGAUGUUGGGUGACUAUAUGUUGUGAGUAGCGAAGCUAACGCGCUAAGUAGACCGCCUGGGGAGUACGGUCGCAAGAUUAAAACUCAAAUGAAUUGACGGGGGCCCGCACAAGCGGUGGAGCAUGUGGUUUAAUUCGAUGCAACGCGAAGAACCUUACCUACACUUGACAUUCAGAGAACUUUCCAGAGAUGGAUUGGUGCCUUCGGGAGCUUUGGGACAGGUGCUGCAUGGCUGUCGUCAGCUCGUGUCGUGAGAUGUUGGGUUAAGUCCCGCAACGAGCGCAACCCUUGUCCUUAUUUGCCAGCAUUAAGUUGGGGACUUUAAGGAGACUGCCGGUGACAAACCGGGAGGAAGGUGGGGACGACGUCAAGUCAUCAUGGCCCUUACGUGUAGGGGCUACACACGUGCUACAAU